rnacentral:rRNA from 1 species
CACGUAGGGCGCGAGCGUUGUCCGGAAUUAUUGGGCGUAAAGAGCUCGUAGGCGGCCUGUUGCGUCCGCUGUGAAAGCCCGGGGCUUAACCCCGGGUCUGCAGUGGAUACGGGCAGGCUAGAGGUAGGUAGGGGAGAAUGGAAUUCCCGGUGUAGCGGUGAAAUGCGCAGAUAUCGGGAGGAACACCGGUGGCGAAGGCGGUUCUCUGGGCCUUACCUGACGCUGAGGCGCGAAAGCGUGGGGAGCAAACAGG